AGCACCCAUCAUAAGCUCACAUUGGUGCUGAUGUUGACAGACUAAUUUUAGUGCCCGCUUAAUCAUUCAUGCAAACAGACGUCAAUGAAAUAGCCUUGUCCAGGUGUCCCUCAAGGAACUUACCAUCUUAAGAGAAGGAAAUGGCUGGUUUUCAGAAAAGGCAUUUUCCUCCUCAGAGAAAGAUUCUGAAAUUUCAAAUUAUAAAAGCAUGAAGCAUGGCUAUGGAAAGAAGAAUCACUAAGGAUAGUCCUGACCAACCUUUCCAUAGGUGAGGAAACUGAGACCCAGAGGAAACGGAGCAGCUUGCAAGAACAACAAUCAAAAGAGUGAUAACAAAGAGGCCAAAAUGCUUUCUGCAUUGAAUUCUCCCUCCUGACUUUCAAUUUUUAAUACUUUUUUCAUUAUGCACCCAGUAUAUCAAAAAGAUUGAACGUUAUCUCAGGAAGGCCCUUGUUUCUAUUGAAUCAGUAAUUGCUAUCAUCACCACUUCAUUUAAUUCUACAGAGGAAGAGAAAGACGCAAGAGAGGAAAGGAACAGGAGGAGGAGGAGGAAAGGAUGGAGAGCACCAGGGUCUGGAGCUCCCAGGAUAACUGGGAUAAAGGCCAAUUCUAGAAAUCAUUUUCUGCUUAUGUCAUUUUCCUCUCACCACAAAUCACUUCUGUUUUAUCAACUUGAAAGCAAUCCCUACAGUAUGAAAGCUUAAAGGAAAUAAUAAAAAUACAUGCACCUAGAAA